UUCCGGGAUUUGAUAACUUCCGUUGACAGCCAUUUUAUAAGACGCUUCUCGUGCUCGCGUAUGUUUGCUUCUAUUUUCAGUUUGACUAUUUUGUAACCUCAGAAAUUUAGAUAGAUUAUCUAGGACUUCCUUUGUUAAUCGUUAUUUCAACUAAAUAACAAGGAUGAUCAAAGUGGAGGAAACACAAAUACCAAAUGACGAUGAAAGAGAUAGGAGCAGAGAACGUGAUCGGAAUCGGCGAUCGGAUAGACAAAAUCGUAUCAAUUCGACUAGUCGUGAUCGGAGUAGAGAGAGAAAUGAUCGUGGUGGCAGAAAAGCUUCAGAUAGAAGAAUUUAUGUAUCAAAUAUACCGUAUGACUUUCGAUGGCAGGAUUUGAAAGAUUUAUUUAGAACUGAAGUAGGGAAAGUAGCACAUGUCGAAUUAUUUACGGAUGAAAAUGAUAAGCCCCGUGGUUGCGGUAUUGUUGAAUUUGAAGAUGCGGAAUCGGUAAAGAUUGCUGUUGAAAAAAUGCAUCGUUAUGACACAAAAGGAAGAAAAUUAGUUGUGAAAGAGGAUUUUGAUGUUGAGCGUGAUAAGUAUGGUCGUCUAGCAACAGCUCGUAAUAAUGAUAGACCAAGAGAUGAUAGGUUUAGAGAUCCUCCUCGUCAGCAAGGAGGUGGUAGACAAAACAUGCCAGCACCUAGUGGCAGUGGUGGUGGUGGUGGUGGUGGUGUUGGUGGCGGUGGUGGUGGAGGUGGUGGAGGCGGUGGUGAUAAUAAGUUUGGUAAUACUUAUGGUCUCAGUACACAAUUCUUGGAAUCUUUAGGCAUUAAUGGACCUUUGGUUACAAGAGUCUUUGUAGCAAAUUUGGACUAUAAAGUGGAUGAAAAAAAAUUAUUGGAAGUAUUUAAGUUGGCUGGUAAAGUUUUACAUGUUGAAUUGGGCAAAGAUAAAGAUGGAAAGUCUCGUGGCUUUGGAGUCGUAGAAUAUGAUCAUCCAGUGGAAUCCGUACAAGCUAUUUCAAUGUUACACAAUCAACAACUUUAUGACAGACGAAUGACAGUAAGGCUUGAUAGAGCAAAUGAACCAGAUAUGCCACCAAAAUUACCAGAAGGUUUGAAGGGCAUUGGAAUGGGAUUAGGAGCAGGAGGAAACAGAUUAAUGGAUGUAGCACGAAAUAUUCCUAGUGUACAAGCCAACAAUCCACCGGUUGUAAAUCCUAUCUCUGCUCCUGUUUUGGCUGCCGGUGCUUUUGGUGCUGGAUUAAAUAAUGUUGUACCUGCACAAUUAGCAUCUGCAUUGACAAAUUCAAAUGCAGCAGCACUUCAAGCGAGUCUUGCUGGUGGUUUAGGAGCAAACCUAACUACAAGCUCUUUAUUGAAUUCAUCUUUAACAAAUGAACUGGCUUCGAAUUUGAAUAGCUUUGGUGGUGGAGUUGGCGGUUUGUCAGGACUACAAGCAUCUUUGGCUGGUGGUCAAGGAAAUAAUUCUUUUGCACCAAGAGGUUUAUCUAAAUUAGAUAACGAUAUAGGAUUUGGUGGCAACAAUGCUUUUGGAAGUUCAUCCUUUGGUGGUGGCAGAGAUUUUGAUGGAGGCUUCAACAGAGGGGAUGGCGAUCGUGUAUCUGGUGGAGGUGGUGCAUUCUCCGGCAAUCAAGGACAAGGUGGAGGUGGUAACAGACAAAAUGCUAAUGGUUCUCGGCUGAUGUCAGAUACCAUUCUUAUAGGAAAUUUACCUCCUAAUACUACGUGGCAAAUGUUACGUGAUAAAUUUCAAGAUGUUGGUGAGGUCAAGUUUGCAGAAAUGAGAGGUACAGAUAUGGGAAUGGUACGAUUCGUCUCUGAGUGGGAUGCGGAGCGAGCAGUGUCGAUGAUGAAUCGGUCACGUAUCGAUGGCAGGACAAUUGACGUACGCUUGUACUAACGAAAGAACUACUACAUCGAUCAAAGGAAACAUCAUCCAGGUGGCAUGUUUUUAUCGAAUGAGGGAUCGAGACAACGUUCCGCAUAAAAGGUAAAUAUGUGAGAAUGUGACUCUAUUAACUAAAACAACUCGUUCAAACGGAGAAUGCAUAAAAAGUAUAUAAAAAGAACUGUAUUCGUGGGAAAAAAAAAAAAAAAAAAAAAAAAAAAAAAAAGAGAAAAAAACCAGUCAAAUAAAUAAGUGUAAAUGUUUCGUUAGUGGAUUUCUCACGAUCGCAUACAUAUUAAAUUGCAUUAGGUGCAUCUAUUGUUCGUCGAUUUAAAAGAAGCACCCCUUCUAAACAACAUAUCUCGCAUCUCGUCGCAUUUAUCUAUGUAUGUAUAUAUAUAUAUAUAUAUAUAUAUAUAUAUAUAUAUAUAUAUAUAUGUAUGUAUGUAUGUAUAUAUGUAUGUAUAAUAUGUUUAUAAUUUUUUUAAUCUAUCGUGUAAGUUUUAUCACAUUUGAAAUAAAGGUAUUAUCAAUGGCGCAAAAGCUUAAGGCUCGAUGUAAAUAACGAUGUGUAAAUUAUGGACUUGGAUUAUACGCGCGAUAUCGUUCUUUUCUUUUCUUUUUUUUCCUUUUUUUAUUUCUUUUUCUUUUUUUUUUCUUCAUUUCCUCCAACGAAGAUAUCACUGAAAGAUAUAUUUUGUCAUUUCGAAAUAUAAAUAUUAGGUGUGUUGUUAAGAAAUAAGAGCGACAAAAGAGUAACGAACGCAUCAUCUAACAUAGUCUCUUUAUCUCAUUACUUUGCGAAAUAGAUUUUUUUUUUUUUACAAAUCAUUCGAAAAAUUUUUGUGCGUGAUCAACGACGUGACUCUAUUUUUUUUUUUCUUUUUUCUUUUUAAUCAAUAUUAUUUCCCGCCGAUGUGUCCAACAUGGAAAAAUGCGUGUAUAUUAGAAAUUUUCUGAUCCUGCAUAUAUUUAUUUUUCGUUUUAUACAUUACUGAUGGUAAAAAUUCAUUUUUCUUUUUUCUAAGAGUACACAAGUUUAAUUUAAUAUUAUUACGUUUAUCACGUUAUCGCUAAAAUAUUUAUAUAUCAUCAAUGCGGUGUUUUCCUAAAAGUUAUGGCUUUUUUUUUCUUAUAUAUUUUUUUUUCCUCUUUUUUUUUUAUUUUUUUUUUUUAUUUUUUAUUUUUUUUUUACCGCGGGGUUUUAUGUAUAAGGGGAGGGGGGAGUAGGGUGAAAAGGCCUUUUGCCAAGUUUAUCACGUAGCGAAAAUUGAAUAUCUCUUUUAAUCAAUGGUCACAAUAUUUCUUAUUUAAUGACUUUCGUGUUAUUCCAUAUUUAAUAUAGUUCUGUUAAUAUAGUCAAUAAUAUUAAUACCAAAGAGAGAUCCUUCAACUUGGAAAAAGACGUUUACAAAUUUGUUUUUAAGCUCGUAUCAUUUUUAUGAAGCACGACGAUCGAUUCUUGGCAAAAAUAUUCAUGGAUGGCAACACUAAAGUCGACAAGCGUAAUACUUUAAUCGAACACAUUAUCUUCGAAUCUUUAUUAAUUAUUAUCUCCGCUGAUCUUCAGCCAUUAUUUCGAAGAAUUUACGAACGCUCUUUAGAUACAAAAAAAAAAAAAAAAAAAAGAAGAAUAAAAUAGAAUAGAAUAGAAUAGUAUAAAAUAGAAAAAGAAAAGAAAUAAAUCAGAAUUACUACACAAACAUCACGAGUUCGUAUUUUAUCAUCACGCUGCACACGUCAUACACUUGACUAUAUGCCUGCAUACAUCUGCGGUCAUAUCGUGCUUUCUGUUUCUUUUUUUCUUUUUUUUUUUUUUUUUUUUUUUUUUUUUUUUUUUUUUUUUACAGUUUUCGCUUUUUAUUUUUUACUGUCGUCAUGCAAUGCUUCAUAAAUUUUUACCACUUGAAAAAUAUUUCACGAGAGUUGUUAAAAUACAAUCAUUUUCUUUUAUCAUCAAUCAUGCAUUAGACAUUUCCAUUUCGCUUUUAAUCGACGUUCGUUUAAUUCGGAUUAUUAAGAGUAUCGCAAAAUAGAAAGAAAAAAGGAAAAGAAAAGAAAAGAAAAAAAGAAUCAGGAAGAAAGAAAGAAAGAAAGAUAAAAACAAAACGUCAUUAGACAAAAAUGAUAAAGCGAAGAGUAGAACUUCGCGAUAUUUCAUUAAUAACAAAUAGUUCGUUCUUUCGUAUUUGUUUUUGCUAAUGCAUUUUAACAAACUCUUGCAAGUGUCCGGGAACGACUUCGUCAAUUUUUUCGUCGUUACACCACCUUCUAAUUACCUUAGCUGCUAAGCACGACAACGUGAUGUAUUUUAACGGACUGAUUGAGUAAUAGUUUUGUUUGUUGCGUAAUAAACUUUUGAAGGUUUUCUUAUCUCUAUUAACGGUAUCGAUAUGAGCAUUUGCAUCGAGAAGCGCUACAGCAAGGUCUGGUCGCCAAGGUAACGACAUGGCCACCCAAUGUAAAGCAGUGUUUCCAUUCCUAUCUCUCGAGUUAACAUCAGCCCCAACUUUCAAUAAAGCUGUAGUCAAGUGAGGCGAAUGAAAUUUGCAGACCGGAUACCUUCCUACCAAAGCUACGUCGUCGCUAUGUAUUAAUUGUAAGGCGUCACGAUCCUAAAAUACAAAAAAAAAAAAAAAAAAAAAAAAAAAAAAAAGUAUUACCUCUGAUAUGCUUAGAGACAAUAGGACGAUGAUAAUUACCUCUUUGCCCUUUGCGUUGAUUCGAACCAAGUCGUAAAUAGCUUUAUGUAUGGCCACAUACUCGUAUGUACCUUCUGUGGGCAUGUCGCGCGUCAUCAAACAAGCUAGAUGCAAGGUUAUUAAUAAAAUUCUGUUUAAAGAUGUGACGUCGCGAUCUCUAAGUGGAAUUUUAUCUAACAAUUGUUUCCCCAAUCUAACUUCUUCUAUCUGAAACAGGAUUUAAUCGAUGGGCAUAAAAAUUAUUGAUAAAAGGAACAAUAGAAAUGGAAGAGAUAAAGGAAAAGAUGAUCGGGAAAGGAAGAGAAAGAAAGAAAGAGAGAGAGAGAGAGAGAGAGAGAGAGAGAGAGAGAGAGAGAGCAAGAGAGACUGGUAAAUAUUAAAAAAAAAAUUUUUUCAAAAAAUAAACAAAUAAAGAUAAAUAUAUCCUUUGAUUUACUUACAGCCUUUAAAAAAAUUCGAAGUAUCUCUUGUCUGUCAACAGGAGGUACUCUCCUUCCUCUACUAGUUUGUCUACCUUCCUCGCCGAUCAUGAAGCUGAAGAGUUCGGCAAAACUAAAGAAGGAACUCUGUGUCAUCGGAUUUAAAGGCUCAAGCAUUCCCUGUUGCAUAUCCAAUGCAUAAUUCCAUAGUUCUAUGCAUCGAUCAAAUUUUCCUGCAUCGGCAUAGACCGCUCCUCUGUAGCGAAUAUAGUAACUUGUAUCUGGAUGUGCCGGACCCAGAAUUCUUUCUCUAAUUACUAAUGCCUGCAUACGCAUUUCGUCUGGGUCUGCCAAUAGCUCAUCCAGUUGUUCUGGUUCGCAUAUUUCUUGGGCAAAAUCAUAGGCCGCUAUUAAGGGUAGAGGCGAUGGUUUUGAUAUUACAACGUCGCUUUGAUAUCUAAAGGAAAUUAAAGAAGUAAUUAAAUUUAAAUCGUAUAAAGUUUCAUGACGUUCGUCCAUUGUUAAUGGACAAAGGAAUAUGUAACUCGAUCGUUUUUCAAUUAUCUUGACUCUCUUUUAACAUCCAAUUAAUAUCUCAAUUAACUCACUUCAAUUUUUUCUUUUUCUUUUUUAUCGUAAUAUUAACUCUUUGCGAUUGUAAUAUUUUUUUGUACGUGCUUUUUCUUUUUUUCUGUUUGUUACUUUCUUUCUUUCUUUCUUUUUUUUUUUUUAUUUUUUAUAUAUAUAUAACAUGAAUACUCGUGGUCGGAAUUAUUUUUAUCAAACACGAAUCGAGAUACCCUGGAUUCAAUCAAUUAUUGCCGUAUAAAAUUAAUUUUAUCGAAAUAUCAUAUUUUCCAGAGAAAUUUACUUUCGAUGAAAUUCAUAUUCUCGGUUUAUCUACGUUUGUAAUUUUACAACCGACGGAUAUAAUAUUUCAUUGACCUCAAGGUUUUAUUUCAAUUGGAAUGGAAAAAUUGCUUCGUCCGAUCUGAAUUAUUUCGUUAUAGAUAACUAGGAAAGGUUAAAAAUGAUUUGUCUGAAAAAAUUUAUCCUUUGACCGCAAAGAAUUAAUACCUAACUGAAUCAUAACAUUUCUAAUGUAUUUAUUAACGAAUCUGAUCACUCAAUCUUUACUCUUUAUAACGCCAAAAAAAAAGAAAAAAAAAAAAAAAAAAGAAGAAUUGAUUUUACCUAUCGUCCAUGGCGCGUUUCCAAAAA